UUAGAGAUUAGAGUUCCAGAAGAACCCAAAAGCAACGAGAAAGGCCAUGAAAGUUACCGAUCUAACCAGUAGAGUCAAAGGUCUGACUUGGACGGCCACUAGCCGGAGAAAGGUCAAAGAUGACCGUAGAAGGGCCAUGAACUAAGAUUGAACGAAUAUUGGACCAGAGUUCUUCAUAGUCUGGCCUUUAAACCAUAAGGACAAACACAUAUGAGCCAUGAAAGGCUGGUACAUGUCUCCUAUUAACCUCGGAAGGUCGUGGAUUAGGGUGGCGGCGGCUAGUAUUUGAGGGUAUUAUAGAGAGGAUUUGGGAGAGGAAGGAUUUCAG
rnacentral:lncRNA from 1 species